rnacentral:rRNA from 1 species
UGGGGAAUAUUGCACAAUGGGCGCAAGCCUGAUGCAGCCAUGCCGCGUGUGUGAAGAAGGCCUUCGGGUUGUAAAGCACUUUCAGCGGGGAGGAAGGCGAUAAGGUUAAUAACCUUGUCGAUUGACGUUACCCGCAGAAGAAGCACCGGCUAACUCCGUGCCAGCAGCCGCGGUAAUACGGAGGGUGCAAGCGUUAAUCGGAAUUACUGGGCGUAAAGCGCACGCAGGCGGUCUGUCAAGUCGGAUGUGAAAUCCCCGGGCUUAACCUGAGAAAUGCAUUCGAAACUGGCAGGCUAGAGUCUUGUAGAGGGUAGUAGAAUUCCAGGUGUAGCGGUGAAAUGCGUAGAGAUCUGGAGGAAUACCGGUGGCGAAGGCGGCCCCCUGGACAAAGACUGACGCUCAGGUGCGAAAGCGUGGGGAGCAAACAGG